GACGAACGCUGGCGGCGUGCUUAACACAUGCAAGUCCAACGGAAAGGCCCCUUUGGGGGUACUCGAGUGGCGAACGGGUGAGUAACACGUGAGUAACCUGCCCUUGACUUCGGGAUAACUUCAGGAAACUGGGGCUAAUACCGGAUAGGAAUCCUUGCUGCAUGGUGGGGGUUGGAAAGCUUCGGCGGUUUUGGAUGGACUCGCGGCUUAUCAGCUUGUUGGUGGGGUAGUGGCUUACCAAGGCUUUGACGGGUAGCCGGCCUGAGAGGGCGACCGGCCACAUUGGGACUGAGAUACGGCCCAGACUCCUACGGGAGGCAGCAGUGGGGAAUAUUGCACAAUGGGCGGAAGCCUGAUGCAGCAACGCCGCGUGCGGGAUGACGGCCUUCGGGUUGUAAACCGCUUUCAGCAGGGGCGAAGCUUGUGGUGACGGUACCUGCAGAAGAAGCACCGGCUAACUACGUG
rnacentral:rRNA from 1 species